CCUUUCUCAGUCAGCCCAAUUUUCACUUCUUUCCCAUUCAGAUAUUCCUUUGCGAGUCAGAUGCACAAAACUUGAUUAUCAAACACUUAUAGCCGACCGAGUCAGCCAAAAAGGUCUUACUCGACUCGGCCAAAAAGGGGUAAUUUUGUUAUUUCACUUGUAACCUUCACUCUUUAAUAUGAAAUGAUUACGUAUUGUUUGCACAUCAACUCCAUAACUCGUCCCUCUCCCAAAAACAUACCCAGUUACAGUUGUAAUCAUCACACCAUUUCCAUCUUAGAAGCAAGAAUAGAAAUUGGGAUUUAGGGUAUAAACAGAAGAAAUCGCAAUGGCGCUGUCAAUAUGGUGUUUUCGAGGAAAAAUCGCAAUUGUGCAGGACUUGUGAAAAAGAUACGAAGGAUAUGACAACUAUUUCACGUUGUAGAUACACUACAGUGGUAUCUUCGCCAAAGCACCUGGAAGGAAAUACAUUGAUGGUACUUCUCAGGAUCACGGGAAGGCAUCAACUUGAUUGUACACACUAGUUAGAGUUUACAUUUUGAGGAUCCUGGAUUGUGUUUAACAAUUUAUGAACAUGUGUUUUUGAUAAAUUGUCAUUUGGAGAUUUAUGAACUGUGUUUUAUGAGAAUUAUGUGAUUCUAAAAACGAAAAAAAAUGUUUGAAAAUUUACGGUGUUACAACCAGUGGGAACUUCCCAUGUAGAAGAACCAAGUAGGUAAGCUGGUGAUGGAGUCCAUACUGCAAUAGUUGAUGAAUUUAAACCAUUUUGUAGAGGAUUAUUCCAUUUAUGUUGAUUAUGAUGUUGAUUAUAAUGUCCAAACUUCAUGUGAACAUAAACCAUAAGUGGAUUAUCUAGAGGGUAUGGUGAGUGAUGAGAGGCUUUCUAUUAUGAGAGUAGAUAUGGUUCCGAGGGUAGUGGAUAUGAUUCUGAUGAUAGUGACUACAAUGUGGAUGAGUCUAACAUACAAUUUGAUGUAAUUCCAUAAUGUUGUUGAUGUAGAUGAACAUGGAAUCUUAAACAAUCAUUCAACAUAUGAAGGGAAUGACAUGAUUGAUAAUGAGUUGGAAGUUAUUGCUACUGAUGAUUAUCAGUUUGUAGGAUUUCAUGAAGAUGAUAGGAAGAUAAUGCUUAAGGAGUUGAGUAAGUCAUGUAGAUGAUCACAUGGAGAGAUUCAUGUAAAACCAUUUAAGGUGGGCCAGAUCUUCAAAACAAGCUUGAUGUUAAAAACUUCAUGAAUUAACAUGUUGUAGAAACAAGGAGGUCUCUAUACCUAGCAAAAAAUGACAAAAUCAGGAUUAUGGUGAAAUGUAAAGGUGUUGUAAGUCAGUCAUUUAAAGCAGUUGAUGGUGGUGGGCCAUCAACUAGAAGUAGGCAAAGUGCAAGGGUAAAGAUGUAAUUGCCAAUAAAUGAACAUGUCCUUGGGCAGUACAAAUGUCGAGGGUUAAUGAAAAUCAGGAUUGGUUGGUGAAAACAGUACAAGAUGAACAUAAAUGUUUGCAAACAAGGGCAGUUAAAGCUUGCACUUCCAGAUAUGUAGCAAACUUAAUUGUUCAACAAAUUUAGAGUAACCCUAAAAUUCAAGUCAAAGCCUUACAUGAAGACUUGUGCAAGAAACUAGUGCUAGGAAUGUCAUUGCAAAAGGUUGCUAGGGUAAAGACAAUGGUUGAAUGUAUCAUUAGUGGGGACUAUGAAAUACAUUAUGGAUUUUUGAGGGAUUAUGUGUUGGAGAUACUAAACACUAAUCUUGGUACAAUAGUUAGGAUCAACAUGUAUCCAGAAACCCCCUAUCUAUUACUACAAGAACUAUUAUUAGAAUAUAUGUCUGUCUGGGUGCAUUGAAGUUGGGAUUUAAAAUUGGGUUAAGAGAUUUUAUAGGAGUGGAUGGUACAUUCUUGAAGGGCCCUUAUCAUGGGCAAGUGUUAACCAUUGUGGGGUUGGACUCAAACAACGGCAUAUACCCUGUAGCAUAUGCAAUGGUAGAGCCAAAAUCAACAAGUAGUUGGACCUGGUUCUUGGAACUGUUAGGAGAAGAUUUGGAUCUGGGAGCAAAUUCAAAUUUUACAUUCAUUUAUGAUAGACAAAAGGGAAUAAUACCAGCAUCGAGGAGGUUUCCCCAAUGCAGAAGACAUGUUUUGUUUGAGGCAUAUCCAGGAAAAUAUAAAGAAAUAGUGGAAAGGAAAAGACUUAAGUGACCAUCUUUGGGAGUGUGGUAGAGAAACAACAGUCAAUCACUUUAACAGAGCAAUGUAUAAGUUGAAGAAGUUCAAUGAGGAGGCUCAUGCUUGGGUUUUUAAUAUUCCAACAAACACUUAGUCUAAAUUUCACUUCAGUGGUUGGGAGGCCCAAGAAGAAGAGAAGGAGAGGUGUUGAUGAGCCCAACAUCCAAGCAGGUAAAUUGACAAGGAGAUAUCUAACAGUCACUUGCUCAAAGUGUCAUAACAAAGGGAACAAUUCCAUAACAUGUAAAGGGAAGGGAGACAGUGGUCAAGUUGGAGGGGGCUGAAAACUAUGUUUAGUAGUUAUUAAGAUGUUUGUGUUGUAGGUCUUUUGAAACUAAAGUCAUGUUUGUUUGUUUGAAACUGUAAUGUAUGUAAGAACUUAAAUCAUGUUUAAUUGUUUUAAAACUUAGUAGGAUGGUUGUGUUAAGAACUUUACAACUUGGCAUGUAAUGGUGUGUAUGCACAUUUUGACAAUGAAUUAAUCUGU